rnacentral:ncRNA from 1 species
GAACUAAAGAGUUUGAUCCUGGCUCAGAUUGAACGCUGGCGGCAUGCUUUACACAUGCAAGUCGAACGGUAACAGGGGCUUCGGCCUGCUGACGAGUGGCGAACGGGUGAGUAAUGCGUCGGAACGCACCGAGUAAUGGGGGAUAACGCAGC